AUGAGACUGUGGGGUCUUCUCCUUUGCCUGGUGACAGCUCCUCAAGGUGUCUUUUCCGAGGUGCAGCUGCAGGAGUCGGGCCCAGGACUAGUGAAGCCCUCGCAGACCCUCUCCCUCACGUGCACCGUCUCUGGUUACUCCAUCACCAGUGGUUACUACUGGAGCUGGAUCCGCCAGCCCACGGGGAAUAGCCUUGAGUGGAUUGGAAGCAUUAGUUAUAGUGGAAGCACAUAUUAUAACCCGUCCCUCAAGAGCCGCACCUCCAUCACCAGAGACACGUCCAACAACCAGUUCUCCCUGCAGCUGAGCUCUGUGACCGACGAGGACACAGGCGUGUAUUACUGUGCGAGAGACACACAGGGAUCCUAUGGCUUCCACAUAUACUGGCAAACCCUCUCUCUCACCUGCGAUGUCUCUGGUGACUCCAUCACCAGUGGUUACUACUGGCACUGGAUCCGCCAGCCCACAGGGAAGAGCCUUGAGUGGAUGGGACGCAUUAGUUAUAGUGGAAGCACAUAUUAUAACCCGUCCCUCGAGAGCCGCACCUCCAUCACCAGAGACACGUCCAACAACCAGUUCUCCCUGCAGCUGAGCUCUGUGACCGACGAGGACACAGGCGUGUAUUACUGUGACGAAGAGCACAAGGCAGGCCUGGAGCUCAUGGAGCAGCAACAGUGGAACGAUGGAACGAGCUCUCAGGGUGACGAGAAGCACAUCACGGGAGAGGGUGUCCUGUCCGAGGUGCAGCUGCAGGAGUAG